rnacentral:lncRNA from 1 species
UCCUGUAGGUUUUCACUCCAACCCUGUUCCUGGAGAGAUACCCUCCUGUAGGUUUUAACUCCAACCCUGUUCAUGGAGAGAUACCCUCCUGUAGGUUUUAACUCCAACCCUGUUCAUGGAGAGAUACCCUCCUGUAGGUUUUAACUCCAACCCUGUUCCUGGAGAGAUACCCUCCUGUAGGUUUUAACUCCAACCCUGUUCCUGGAGAGAUACCCCUCCUGUAGGUUUUAACUCCAACCCUGUUCAUGGAGAGAUACCCUCCUGUAGGUUUUAACUCCAACCCUGUUCCUGGAGAGAUACCCCUCCUGUAGGUUUUAACUCCACCCCUGUUCCUGGAGAGAUACCCCUCCUGUAGGUUUAACUCCAACCCUGUUCCUGGAGAGAUACCCUCCUGUAGGUUUUAACUCCACCC